UACGUAGGAUGCAAGCGUUGUCCGGAAUUAUUGGGCGUAAAGCGCGUGUAGGCGGCCAGGUAAGUCCGUUCUGAAAGCCCGGGGCUCAACCCCGGGAGGCGGAUGGAUACUGCUUGGCUCGAGUCCGGAAGAGGCGAGUGGAAUUCCCGGUGUAGCGGUGAAAUGCGCAGAUAUCGGGAGGAACACCAAUGGCGAAGGCAGCUCGCUGGGACGGUACUGACGCUGAGACGCGAAAGCGUGGGGAGCAAACAGG
rnacentral:rRNA from 1 species